AGAGUUUGAUUCUGGCUCAGGACGAACGCUGGCGGCGUGCCUAACACAUGCAAGUCGAACGAAGCUCCCUGACGUAAGACUUCGGUCAAGCUGAUGGGAUGACUUAGUGGCGGACGGGUGAGUAACGCGUGAGGAACCUGCCUUUCAGUGGGGGACAACAGUUGGAAACGACUGCUAAUACCGCAUAAUGUACUUUGGGGACAUCCCCGAGGUAUCAAAGAUUUAUUGCUGAAAGAUGGCCUCGCGUCUGAUUAGAUAGUUGGUGGGGUAACGGCCCACCAAGUCGACGAUCAGUAGCCGGACUGAGAGGUUGAACGGCCACAUUGGGACUGGGAUACGGCCCAG
rnacentral:rRNA from 1 species